rnacentral:lncRNA from 1 species
GUCUGUCUCUGUGUCCCAUUUCCCCUUUCAUCAGCUUUGCAUUGUGAUUUUCAUUUGAAUUCUUUUUUUUUCUCUUACUCUUUCUUCUUCUUCUUUUUUUUAAGAAACGAUCUUGCUCAGGUGUGCACCAUCACAACCAGCUAAUUUUUAAAUUUUUUGUAGAGAUAGGGGUCUUGCUAUCUUGCCCAGGCUGGUCUUGAACUCCUGGUCUCAAGUAAUCAUCCUGCCAUGGCCUGCCAAAGUGCUGGGAUCAUAAGUGUGAGCCACCACACGUAAGCACAUUGCUUUUCUUUUGAGUGAAGCCUUUUCAUUCUGAGUUAGUCGUCUGUUCACAAAUUUUAUUCAUUUAUUAAGUCAUUGAUCAAAUGUUAUUGAUUUGUAAAAGCUCUUUAUAUGUGGAGAAAAUUAGCCUUUUUAUCUAAUUUAGACAUUGCAAAAAUUUCCACAAUUAAUCAUAUUACAGUUGGCAUUUGAACAAUAUGGGGAUUAAGGCACUGAUCCCCCUCAUGCACACUCAA